AUGGAAACAUGGCAACAGUGGCUUCAAUUUUUUGACAUGGCAUACAUUUGAAACCCACUGGAAGUUUGACUCACAAGAAGUAGCCUGAACUCAGUUUAGAGCUUUUUAUCUUAACAAUGCAAUAAAUCUACUUUUUCUAUGUUCAUCUUCUAAAUUUGUGUUAAAAAAUUUAGCAAUUGAGCAAGUUGCCAACUUUAUCUGCAGUGUCAAACUCAAGUGUUAAGUUGUAUGAAUAUUUGGUAUUUUCUUAAACAUGCAAUAAAUAUGUUUUUACAAAAAAAAAAUGUAGAAGAAGCUUUUGUUAACUGUGAUGGUUGUUUGUUUAAUGAAAUCUCUUUCAAAAAGACAAAAGUCAACAAUUUAAGAUUGGUUAAGACAUUAAAUUAUGAUUUUAUAUUACAGAAGUGAUGUUAAAUAUAUUAAUCUGUAAGCAUAACCCAAAGACCCCAUCCCCAGUUCAAAAUCAGGCAAUGAAUAAAGCUCAUUGGAUGAAUGGAAGAUGCCAAUCAAAGUGAAAUAAUCUGCCACAAGAAGUAUAAAAUAAGAUACUGUAAAGACACAUAACAUACAGGCACAGGAUGGCAAACAAAGAAAGACACAUCAUCAUUCACUUGUCCCAUAUUCAUUUCCAUCAAGCUUUUGUUUUUGGUACAUUUUGAUCAUAUAAGACAAAUCUCACAUGCACUCCAUCAUGCAAAGCCAUGCUUUUUUUUUUUUACUGAGUAUUUUACUUUUAGUGGUCACGCAGCAAGACAAGACACCACCAAAAAUAAAACCCAUGCGAUGCAUCAAAUGCUGGAAACCACAAUGAAGUUGGGUAUGAGUGCAUAUUUAAGGCAUCUAAACAGUAGAGCUAAUUCUGUAGGUAGUAGUGGACAUUCAUACCUAGUCCCAAAGAUAUAAAUAAAAGAGUUAAGAAAAGGAGUGUUACAGGACGCAUUUGCCCACAUGAGUAAAAAAUGGAAGUGGAAAAGAUGGAGGGAUGGAGGAAAGGGAAAACAAAUCAAUGUUUCUUCUGUCGAUGAGCAGAGUGCGCACUGACAAGCCUCAAGCAUUAUGGCAGACAUGAAUUAUUAAAUACACAGUACGUAUACAUUAUCUGUCGUGUCAGACUACUUGCUGAAUCAGAAACCAUGCUGUCAUUAAAACAUUAAUGGCUCACGUUCCAGGUUGUAUUCCUCUAGUAGCUGGAGCUAUAAUUUAGUAAUGACUUACAUUGGUAAACAAGGUACAUUUUAAAAGGAUCAACUACAUAUUGUCAUUAUUUGUCAGUUAUGAAUUUUUAGUGUUAUUAUAUCAGCCAAUCUCACUGGAUCACUCAAGCUACUGGUCUGCAUUAAUCAAGUUGCUCACAUGUUGUCAUCUGGUGUUGUAUAUGGUGACAGUGUGGGCCUCUGCCCUGGACCAUUACAUCAUAUGGCUGGUGGUGGUGGUGGGGGGGACCCUGUGUCUCUGAUAGUAAUGGAGGUUAGCUAACAUGGAAAUCAAAGGCAGAUUGAUGAGAGGGCCCAGAGCAGCUGGUUAGGUAAUGAUGUCUUCAUUCUUUCAGCCAUCCAUUUGCUCCCCGUUCUUCGCCUCUCCCUCGCUUCCUGCCCCCUCCAUCCGCCCCAACCUUCUCUGGAACACUUAUUAAGAGCUAUAUUUAGAUAAGCGGAAAACCUUGACUCUCGGAGUGCAUCGCCGCCGUCUCGUUCUUGUGUGUUUUCUAUGUGUAUUUGUAAUGUAAGGCCGUAGCUACAGUAUGAAAGGAGUGUACAUUAUGAAAAGGGCUACAGGUGC
rnacentral:lncRNA from 15 species